UACGUAGGGUGCGAGCGUUGUCCGGAAUUAUUGGGCGUAAAGAGCUCGUAGGCGGUUUGUCGCGUCGACUGUGAAAACCCGAGGCUUAACCUCGGGCCUGCAGUCGAUACGGGCAGACUAGAGUUCGGUAGGGGAGACUGGAAUUCCUGGUGUAGCGGUGAAAUGCGCAGAUAUCAGGAGGAACACCGGUGGCGAAGGCGGCCCACUGGUCCGGUACUGACGCUGAGGUGCGAAAGCGUGGGGAGCAAACAGG
rnacentral:rRNA from 1 species